rnacentral:rRNA from 1 species
UACGUAGGGUGCAAGCGUUAAUCGGAAUUACUGGGCGUAAAGCGUGCGCAGGCGGUUCUAUAAGACAGAUGUGAAAUCCCCGGGCUCAAUCUGGGAACUGCAUUUGUGACUGUAGAGCUGGAGUGCGGCAGAGGGGGAUGGAAUUCCGCGUGUAGCAGUGAAAUGCGUAGAUAUGCGGAGGAACACCGAUGGCGAAGGCAAUCCCCUGGGCCUGCACUGACGCUCAUGCACGAAAGCGUGGGGAGCGAUCCGG